UGGGGAAUAUUGCACAAUGGGCGAAAGCCUGAUGCAGCGACGCCGCGUGAGGGAUGACGGCCUUCGGGUUGUAAACCUCUUUCAGCAGGGAAGAAGCCACAAGUGACGGUACCUGCAGAAGAAGCGCCGGCUAACUACGUGCCAGCAGCCGCGGUAAUACGUAGGGCGCAAGCGUUGUCCGGAAUUAUUGGGCGUAAAGAGCUCGUAGGCGGUUGGUCGCGUCUGCUGUGAAAGCCCGGGGCUUAACCCCGGGUGUGCAGUGGGUACGGGCAGACUAGAGUGCAGUAGGGGAGACUGGAAUUCCUGGUGUAGCGGUGGAAUGCGCAGAUAUCAGGAGGAACACCGAUGGCGAAGGCAGGUCUCUGGGCUGUUACUGACGCUGAGGAGCGAAAGCAUGGGGAGCGAACA
rnacentral:rRNA from 1 species